AUUGAACGCUGGCGGCAGGCCUAACACAUGCAAGUCGAACGAGUGGCGGACGGGUGAGUAAUGUCUGGGAAACUGCCUGAUGGAGGGGGAUAACUACUGGAAACGGUAGCUAAUACCGCAUACCAUCAGAUGUGCCCAGAUGGGAGUGUCUAGUGGGUGGGGUAACGGCGAAACAAGGCGACGAUCCCUCGCUGGUCUGAGAGGAUGACCAGCCACACUGGAACUGAGACACGGUCCAGACUCCUACGGGAGGCAGCAGUGGGGAAUAUUGCACAAUGGGCGCAAGCCUGCUGCAGCCAUGCGGGGUGUAUGAAGAAGGCCUUCGGGUUGUAAAGUACUUUCAGCGGGGAGGCGUUACCCGCAGAAGAAGCACCGGCUAACUCCGUGCCAGCAGCCGCGGUAAUAC
rnacentral:rRNA from 1 species